rnacentral:tRNA from 1 species
GCAGGCAUAGCUCAAUUGGCUAGAGCGCUUCCUUGCCAAGGAAGAGGUUGCGGGUUCAAAUCCCGUUGCUUGCU